rnacentral:rRNA from 1 species
UACAGGGGGUGCAAGCGUUGUCCGGAAUUAUUGGGCGUAAAGAGCUCGUAGGCGGUCUGUCGCGUCUGCUGUGAAAAUCCAGGGCUCAACCCUGGACCUGCAGUGGGUACGGGCAGACUAGAGUGCGGUAGGGGAGAUCGGAAUUCCUGGUGUAGCGGUGAAAUGCGCAGAUAUCAGGAGGAACACCGGUGGCGAAGGCGGAUCUCUGGGCCGUAACUGACGCUGAGGAGCGAAAGCAUGGGGAGCGAACAGG